rnacentral:rRNA from 1 species
AAGUCGAACGAGUUCUGAUUAUUGAAAGGUGCUUGCAUCUUGAUUUAAUUUUGAACGAGUGGCGGACGGGUGAGUAACACGUGGGUAACCUGCCCUUAAGUGGGGGAUAACAUUUGGAAACAGAUGCUAAUACCGCAUAAAUCCAAGAACCGCAUGGUUCUUGGCUGAAAGAUGGCGUAAGCUAUCGCUUUUGGAUGGACCCGCGGCGUAUUAGCUAGUUGGUGAGGUAACGGCUCACCAAGGCAAUGAUACGUAGCCGAACUGAGAGGUUGAUCGGCCACAUUGGGACUGAGACACGGCCCAAACUCCUACGGGAGGCAGCAGUAGGGAAUCUUCCACAAUGGACGCAAGUCUGAUGGAGCAACGCCGCGUGAGUGAAGAAGGCUUUCGGGUCGUAAAACUCUGUUGUUGGAGAAGAAUGGUCGGCAGAGUAACUGUUGUCGGCGUGACGGUAUCCAACCAGAAAGCCACGGCUAACUACGUGCCAGCAGCCGCGGUAAUACGUAGGUGGCAAGCGUUAUCCGGAUUUAUUGGGCGUAAAGCGAGCGCAGGCGGUUUUUUAAGUCUGAUGUGAAAGCCCUCGGCUUAACCGAGGAAGUGCAUCGGAAACUGGGAAACUUGAGUGCAGAAGAGGACAGUGGAACUCCAUGUGUAGCGGUGAAAUGCGUAGAUAUAUGGAAGAACACCAGUGGCGAAGGCGGCUGUCUGGUCUGUAACUGACGCUGAGGCUCGAAAGCAUGGGUAGCGAACAGGAUUAGAUACCCUGGUAGUCCAUGCCGUAAACGAUGAAUGCUAGGUGUUGGAGGGUUUCCGCCCUUCAGUGCCGCAGCUAACGCAUUAAGCAUUCCGCCUGGGGAGUACGACCGCAAGGUUGAAACUCAAAGGAAUUGACGGGGGCCCGCACAAGCGGUGGAGCAUGUGGUUUAAUUCGAAGCAACGCGAAGAACCUUACCAGGUCUUGACAUCUUUUGAUCACCUGAGAGAUCAGGUUUCCCCUUCGGGGGCAAAAUGACAGGUGGUGCAUGGUUGUCGUCAGCUCGUGUCGUGAGAUGUUGGGUUAAGUCCCGCAACGAGCGCAACCCUUAUGACUAGUUGCCAGCAUUUAGUUGGGCACUCUAGUAAGACUGCCGGUGACAAACCGGAGGAAGGUGGGGAUGACGUCAAAUCAUCAUGCCCCUUAUGACCUGGGCUACACACGUGCUACAAUGGAUGGUACAACGAGUUGCGAGACCGCGAGGUCAAGCUAAUCUCUUAAAGCCAUUCUCAGUUCGGACUGUAGGCUGCAACUCGCCUACACGAAGUCGGAAUCGCUAGUAAUCGCGGAUCAGCACGCCGCGGUGAAUACGUUCCCGGGCCUUGUACACACCGCCCGUCACACCAUGAGAGUUUGUAACACCCGAAGCCGGUGGCGUAACCCUUUUAGGGAGCGAGCC